AGAGUUUGAUCCUGGCUCAGGAUGAACGCUGGCGGUCUGCUUAACACAUGCAAGUCGAACGAAUUCCUUCGGGGAUUAGUGGCGGACGGGUGAGUAACGCGUGAGAAUCUGCCUUUUGGUCGGGGACAACCACUGGAAACGGUGGCUAAUACCGGAUAAGCCUGCGGGUAAAAGAUUAAUUGCCAAGAGAAGAGCUCGCGUCUGAUUAGCUAGUUGGUGAGGUAAAGGCUCACCAAGGCGGCGAUCAGUAGCUGGUCUGAGAGGAUGAUCAGCCACACUGGGACUGAGACACGGCCCAGACUCCUACGGGAGGCAGCAGUGGGGAAUUUUCCGCAAUGGGCGAAAGCCUGACGGAGCAAGACCGCGUGAGGGAGGAAGGCUCUUGGGUUGUAAACCUCUUUUGUCAGGGAAGAACACAAUGACGGUACCUGAAGAAUCAGCAUCGGCUAACUCCGUGCCAGCAGCCGCGGUAAUACGGAGGAUGCAAGCGUUAUCCGGAAUUAUUGGGCGUAAAGCGUCCGCAGGUGGCACUUCAAGUCUGCUGUCAAAGACCGGGGCUUAACCCUGGAAAGGCAGUGGAGACUGAAGCGCUAGAGUGUGGCAGGGGUAGAGGGAAUUCCCGGUGUAGCGGUGAAAUGCGUAGAGAUCGGGAAGAACAUCGGUGGCGAAAGCGCUCUACUGGGCCACAACUGACACUCAGGGACGAAAGCUAGGGGAGCGAAUGGGAUUAGAUACCCUAGUAGUCC
rnacentral:rRNA from 1 species